rnacentral:misc_RNA from 1 species
AAGUCGUAACAAGGUCUCCGUAGGUGAACCUGCGGAGGGAUCAUUACUGAGUGAGGGAGAAAUCCCGACCUCCAACCCUUUGUGAACGCAUCAUGUUGCUUUGGGGGCGACCCUGCCGUUUUGCGGCAUUCCCCCCGAAGGUCAUCAAAACACUGCAUUCUUACGUCGGAGUAUAAAGUUAAUUUAAUAAAACUUUCAACAACGGAUCUCUUGGUUCUG